rnacentral:lncRNA from 1 species
GGGUGAACGGUAUGAGCUCUAUUACGUGAAGGAACUGUGGGAAACUUAGCAAGGCCUGCUUAUUUGGAUCCUUCUGAGUGUUCCAUCCUCUUGAGAUAAAGAUGUUUUUUUCCCUCCAGGUAUAGGAGGGCAUCUUUCACAUGACUUAAGCAAGUUACUUUAUCUCUUUAGGAUGUAUAGUCCUCAUCUGCUAAACAGGAUUACAAGAGUUUGACAACUAGCCGAGAUAAGGUAUGUAAAGUGUCUGGCACCUAGGAAAAUAUCAAAAGGUAGUAAUAAUUAUAUAAGGAACAGCAUCAUAUCUGAAAUGAAGUCUAUAAAGAUUUCAUGCAUGCCCACCUGUAUAGACAUCAAGGCUAAUAGCAUGUUUGAUUUUAUCAACACCGUUUGCGAGCUAGUUCAGAUUUAAGUAGUAUGAAAAAUUCAAUAAACAUCUCUUCCAGCCCUAAAUAAAGAGGAUGAUACUCCGUAACCGAAAUUCUGAAAGUAAAUAGAGAAUAACAUCUUAGAACCAGUGCUCUUCUCAGUGUAGAGGCCAACAGCACACUAAUUUUACAUGCUUCUCCGUAUCGUGCGUCAUCUUCUGGAAUUAGCAAUCUUUUUCUUUGAAAACAUAGCUGGAUGCCAACUUUCUACUUAUUCCUAUUUAGGUCAAUGCUCGGUAAGUAUUUUUUUAGUAAAGAAAUUAACAUUAGAUGAAAUUAUUGAUAGUCCAAAGAGCAGAGAUUUAUAGCACUGACAACAGACAAAAGAAAUGAUA